rnacentral:rRNA from 1 species
GACGAACGCUGGCGGCAGGCCUAACACAUGCAAGUCGAACGAAGUCUUCGGACUUAGUGGCGGACGGGUGAGUAACACGUGGGAACGUGCCUUUAGGUUCGGAAUAACUCAGGGAAACUUGUGCUAAUACCGAAUGUGCCCUUCGGGGGAAAGAUUUAUCGCCUUUAGAGCGGCCCGCGUCUGAUUAGCUAGUUGGUGAGGUAAAGGCUCACCAAGGCUACGAUCAGUAGCUGGUCUGAGAGGAUGACCAGCCACAUUGGGACUGAGACACGGCCCAAACUCCUACGGGAGGCAGCAGUGGGGAAUCUUGUGCAAUGGGCGAAAGCCUGACGCAGCCAUGCCGCGUGGAUGAUGAAGGUCUUAGGAUUGUAAAAUCCUUUCACCGGUGAAGAUAAUGACUGUAGCCGGAGAAGAAGCCCCGGCUAACUUCGUGCCAGCAGCCGCAGUAAAAC